CUUGGCUGAGAACCUUACCUGGCCAGACAGUUCUCCUCGGCUGCACAGCGGAGAGCAUACAUCUGCAUGCGCUGGACAUAAGCACCUGCUUGGAUGGCAUACGGGUCUGGAACAAGGUCUGGGAGUCCUGCAGUCAAGGUAUCCCGACAGUGAGCCUGCACAUGUGCUGCUCUAUUCUUAGCUGCAGAUCUUGCCCCUGCAUGGUCGAGCGUCCAGCUCCGCCUCGCUCCCUGUGUCCCAGCAGAUUUAUAAGAAGCACAGAUCCUCGGCACUGGUUUGGCACAAGACGUACGCAGCAGGACAUGUAGCCCCCAAAAUUUAGCAAGUAUCCAGGCUUUGCUUCUUGUGAGAUUUAAGGAAGAUGAUGGUCUUAAAAUGGUUUGAGCACAAGAAUUCUUCCCAAACAUGGAAUAUACCUGUUGUCUUCCCCUGAGGCAUCACACUACCAGUCUGAGGAGUAAAAUGAUAGAUCCAGAGGGUUUACCACAGGUCAUGGGAAGACAAUACAGGUGAGAUGCUGAAAGAAAUGCCUGACGAUGAUUAAACAUCUUUGACAUGUGACUUUGUGGCGAUAUAUCUGGUGUAUAUAUUUGGUUGGGUUCCUGAAGAAAAAUAAAUCUCAGCGUAAACUGCGUUACAGCUAAACUGUAUCUGACGAUAAAAGUAGUGACAUUUAAAAGCCGGGGGUCUGCAGAUCAGUGGGUUUCUUCUAACAGUGUCAGUGUCUGACUGUCAGCUCUGCUCAUA